rnacentral:rRNA from 1 species
AAUGCUGGCGGCAGGCCUAACACAUGCAAGUCGAGCGAACAACCUCAAUAGGGUUGUUAGCGGCGAACGGGUGAGUAACACGUGAGGAUCUGCCUUGUUCUAUAGGAUAGCAAAGAGAAAUCUUUGGUAAUACUGUAUGACUCCAAGAUCUUGGUAAAGAUCUCAAAUCGGAACAAGAUGAACUUGCGCUAGAUUAGCUAGUUGGUGGGGUAAAGGCCUACCAAGGCAAUGAUCUAUAGCUGGUCUGGAAGGAUGGACAGCCACAUUGGGACUGAGACAAGGCCCAACUCUCUUAGGAGAGCAGCAGUGGGGAAUAUUGGACAAUGGGCGAAAGCCUGAUCCAGCCAUGCCGCAUGAGUGACUGAAGGUCUUUGGACUGUAAAACUCUUUUGCCAACGAACUAAUGAUGAUAGGUUGGUGAAUAAGCUCCGGCCAACUUCGUGCCAGCAGCCGCGGUAAUACGAGGGGAGCGAGUGUUGUUCGGUUUUAUUGGGCGUAAAGGGUGUUCAGGUUGUUCAAUAAGUUGAUCUCUAAAUCUUGGAACUCAACCCCAUUCAAGGGGUCAAUACUGUUGGACUUGAGCUUACAAGGGACGAAUGGAAUUCCAAGUGUAGAGGUGAAAUUCGUUGAUAUUUGGGGGAACACCGGAGGCGAAAGCGAUUCGUCAUACUAAGCUGACACUGAAGACACGAAAGCAUGGGGAGCAAACAGGAUUUAGAUACCCUGGUAGUCCAUGCCCUAAACGAUGAGUGCUAACAGUCUAGAGCCAACUUGUUGGCUGAAAUGCAAGGACCUUGGGUCCAAGCAUCCAACAAAGUUAUCGGUCUCAACAUUGUACAGCUAACGCAUUAAGCACUCCGCCUGGGGAUUACGACCGCAAGGUUAAAACUCAAAGGAAUUGACGGAGACCCGCACAAGCGGUGGAGCAUGUGGUUUAAUUCGAAUCUACACGAAGAACCUUACCAGCUCUUGACAUUUUUGGCUAAACAUGUUAGAAAUAAUAUGCCGCUUACAAUUGUAAGAAUGCCUUGAACAGGUGCUGCAUGGCUGUUGUCAGCACGUGUCGUGAGAUGUAUGGUUAAGUUCCAUAACGAGCGUAACCCUUGCUCAUAGUUGCCGAAACAAAUAGGCUCUCUAUGAGGACUGCUAAUUAAAAGUUAGAGGAAGGUGAGGAUCACAACAAGUCAUCAUGGCCCUUAUGGGCUGGGCUACACACGUGCUACAAUGGCAACUACAAAGAGUCGCAAUAUCGUGAGGUGGAGCUAAUCUCAAAAAAGUUGUCUUAGUUCGGAUUGUACUCUGCAACUCGAGUACAUGAAGUAGGAAUCGCUAGUAAUCGUGGAUCAGCAUGCCACGGUGAAUACGUUCUCGGGUCUUGUACACACCGCCCGUCACACCAUGGGAAUCGAUUUUAUCCGAAAUUUCUAGAUUUAGAAAUCAAUGUAAGAUUGGUGACCGA